UUGGGCCGCCUAAUAGUGCAAGUCGAGCGGUAGCACAGAGAGCUUGCUCUCGGGUGACGAGCGGCGGACGGGUGAGUAAUGUCUGGGAAACUGCCUGAUGGAGGGGGAUAACUACUGGAAACGGUAGCUAAUACCGCAUAAUGUCGCAAGACCAAAGUGGGGGACCUUCGGGCCUCAUGCCAUCAGAUGUGCCCAGAUGGGAUUAGCUAGUAGGUGGGGUAACGGCUCACCUAGGCGACGAUCCCUAGCUGGUCUGAGAGGAUGACCAGCCACACUGGAACUGAGACACGGUCCAGACUCCUACGGGAGGCAGCAGUGGGGAAUAUUGCACAAUGGGCGCAAGCCUGAUGCAGCCAUGCCGCGUGUGUGAAGAAGGCCUUCGGGUUGUAAAGCCUUUCAGCGGGGAGGAAGGCGUUAAGGUUA
rnacentral:rRNA from 1 species